CCUACGGGGGGCUGCAGUGGGGAAUAUUGGACAAUGGGGGGAACCCUGAUCCAGCCAUGCCGCGUGUGUGAAGAAGACCCUCGGGUUGUAAAGCACUUUCAGUGAGGAAGAACGCCUGGUGGUUAAUACCCAUCAGGAAAGACAUCACUCACAGAAGAAGCACCGGCUAACUCCGUGCCAGCAGCCGCGGUAAUACGGAGGGUGCGGGCGUUAAUCGGAAUUACUGGGCGUAAAGCGCGCGUAGGUGGCUUGAUAAGCCGGUUGUGAAAGCCCCGGGCUCAACCUGGGAACGGCAUCCGGAACUGUCAAGCUAGAGUGCAGGAGAGGAAGGUAGAAUUCCCGGUGUAGCGGUGAAAUGCGUAGAGAUCGGGAGGAAUACCAGUGGCGAAGGCGGCCUUCUGGACUGACACUGACACUGAGGUGCGAAAGCGUGGGUAGCAAACAGGAUUAGAUACCCGUGUAGUC
rnacentral:rRNA from 1 species